rnacentral:lncRNA from 1 species
GGCCAUUCGCUUGCUCUCUUUGUUCUAUUUGUGAACAUUUUAAGCACACAAUUUGAUGUGGCAGCAGGCAGUCCCAGCCCCCAAAUGGGUUGCCAGAGCAGGGAGCUCCAGAGUGUGGCUAUGAAUCUAUUUCCACAGACUGUACUUUGAGUAGAUAGCUGACCCAUAGCUGUGUAUCCCUAAGAUCUAAAGUGAGCUGGAGCGACAUGCAACCCAGCAUCCAUGGAUUACAAUCAAUUAAUUGGCCAUUGGCCUUUGCCAUUGCCAUUGCCUCGGAGACUUCUGUCAGCCAGCAUGUUGCUCUCUGCCCUGCUGCUGCCACACAAUUCGAAGGAGUUAAAUCAAAACAAAUGUUUCAUUUAAAUGGUUAAUUUGAUCAGGUUUUGGUCCGCAUGUUGGCAGCCAACAGCGGCCAAAUGAGCAGCUUACACGGAGAUGAUGAGGCCCGAGAGGCAGAGGCACACAAAUGGCUGAGAAAUCGUGAGAAUUGCAUUUGGAAUGCCACCAACCAAAGCGGAUUGGACGAGGCUGACUGGCUGGCCGGCGCGGGGAGGGGGGGCUCUGGAUUUUAAUUUGCUGGCUUCAAUCAAACUGCAACGAGGUGGAGCGCAGUCGGGGCAGGACGUGCUGCUCCACAGGGCAAGCUGCUGCUACAGCAGCGAGGAUCACGCCAACUGGCUGGGAGAGAGAGCAGAGGGAGCAGAGGGAGCAGAAGAGUGCUGCGCUGGAGGACGGCGCUUGCCACUUAGCAUAAACGGAAGACCCUGGCCAAGUCUCCCCCCGAAGUCGAAGUGAGCCACGACCUGUGUGGCCGCUGCAUCAAGGUAACAAGCUGUAAUUAGAGCCUCUUAGCCUGUCAUCGCCAGCGUGCUUGAUUAUAGCCUUUUGACAAAAAGUAAAUAUUAAUUUAAUACGUUCCAGCAGGACAGGGCAGGGCAGGGCAGGGCGGGAGAGUGCCGCAGGGCCACAACUCGAACACGAACUCCGCCGUUUGCUGCUUCUGCAAAUGAAGCGCCUGAAGCCACUUUGUAGCGCAGAGCAAAAUCUACACAAGGAAACUUUCAGUUUCAGUUGGAGUUGCAGCCAGGAGUGCCAAGUGCCAAGUGCCAAGUUCCCCAGUGAAAAUGCUGCCCCGAAAUGUUUCCCAUUUCCACGAAUCAAAUAUCCAAGCUCCAAGUUCGAGUCCCAGCUCACGUCUCUUGGGCUGCCUCUGGUCUGCUGUACGCCCUUUUUUGGGAUCUCAAAACAAUGGGUUCAAACGGCUGCGCUUCAGCGGAAAACAAAAAGCGGCCAACGAGCCCUAAAUCAAUCACAGCCGAGGCGACAUGUCAGCAGCGAGGCCACAGCCACAGCCACAGCCACAGCCGCAGCCACAGCCAAAAUGUCAACGUGAUCGUGGGCCACGUCUUGAAAAGGGCCGCCAAGCUGGCCCAUCGCAUAUAUUGGCCAUAUGAAGAUCGCUUGGGCACUGGAGCGUGGUCUGCGGGUCUUCGGGUCCCUUCAGUGUGUGCGCGUGAUAUCUGAACUACGAAAUUGAGAUCGAUUCGAGAGUACGUGUCUGCCAUGCCGAAUCAGAGUCAGACUCAGAGUCAGAAGCAGAAGCAGAAGCAGAGCCCAUUCCAUGUGCCGCUUGUUGUAACGAUAAAUUAUGAUAUUAUUUGAAAUUAAUGUUAAGCAUAACGACAUCAGUGGGGGCUGCAGAGGAUCGAUCCGAUCGGCUGCAUUCAAUCACAAUUAAUAUUCCAAUCAGAUGAUGGCAAACACAUGUCCGCAAUGCCAUGUCCAUGUCCAGGUCCCAGUGGUAGAUCAUCACUGGAACUGCAACUGCAACUGAAACCGAGACUUGGACGUCGCAUGCGUAAUGAGUGGACAAAAAAUGGGAACAGCGAGAAAGGAGGAACGAGGGAUCGUGUCGCUGAUUUGUUCGCUGUCAUAAUUCAAUAAAGU